GCCGAGGUGGUGGAAUGGUAGACACCGGGGACUUAAAAUCCCCUCCUUGUAAUGAGGGUACGGGUUCAACUCCCGUUCUCGGCA
rnacentral:tRNA from 1 species